ACAGAGGGUGCAAGCGUUAAUCGGAAUUACUGGGCGUAAAGCGAGCGUAGGUGGCUUGAUAAGUCAGAUGUGAAAUCCCCGGGCUUAACCUGGGAACUGCAUCUGAAACUGUUAGGCUAGAGUAGGUGAGAGGGAAGUAGAAUUUCAGGUGUAGCGGUGAAAUGCGUAGAGAUCUGAAGGAAUACCGAUGGCGAAGGCAGCUUCCUGGCAUCAUACUGACGCUGAGGCUCGAAAGCGUGGGGAGCAAACAGG
rnacentral:rRNA from 1 species